UACGAAGGGUGCAAGCGUUACUCGGAAUUACUGGGCGUAAAGCGUGCGUAGGCGGUCUGUUAAGUCUGAUGUGAAAGCCCUGGGCUCAACCUGGGAAUUGCAUUGGAUACUGGCAGGCUAGAGUGCGGUAGAGGGUAGUGGAAUUCCCGGUGUAGCAGUGAAAUGCGUAGAGAUCGGGAGGAACACCGGUGGCGAAGGCGGCCAACUGGACCAUUACUGACGCUGAGGCGCGAAAGCGUGGGGAGCAAACAGG
rnacentral:rRNA from 1 species